rnacentral:rRNA from 1 species
CAGCCGCCGCGGUAAUACCGGCGGCCCGAGUGGCGGUCACUAUUAUUGGGCUUAAAACGUCCGUAGCCGGGUUGGGAAGUCCUCCGGGAAAUCUGGCCGCUUAACGGUCAGAAUGCCGGAGGAUACUCCCAGCCUAGGGAGCGGGGGAGGCCGAGGGGAUUCCCGGAGUAGGGGUGAAAUCCUAUAAUCCCGGGAGGACCACCUGUGGCGAAGGCGCUCGGCUGGAACGCGUCCGACGGUGAGGGACGAAGGCCAGGGGAGCAAACCGGAUUAGAUACCCGGGUAGUCCUGGCUGUAAACGAUGCGGACUUUGUGUCGGACAAGCUAUGAGCUUGUCCGGUGCCGGAGGGAAACCGUUAAGUCCGCCGCCUGGGGAGUACGGCCGCAAGGCUGAAACUUAAAGGAAUUGGCGGG